UCCUCAAUGCCUCUAGGCACUUAGGUCCACCUCUGAUUCCCCCACAGCAUCCAACACACUUAAAAUUUGUCCACUGUUCUAACCUCUCCAUUUCCCCCCAGCUGGGCUGUGAAUUUCUUGAGGGCCGGAACUAAGCCCUGGUCAUCUUUGUAUCCCCAGCAUCUACAACAGCAUCCAGCUCAAUACAUGCUGUAUUUGCUGCCUGAGAGUGAGCCAGCUGCCCAAGCCAGGUCUCCAGGUUUGCAGUUGAAUUCCCAGGAUGCCGGAAAACAGAACUGCAGAGCCCCACGGUCUAUUGUGAAAGUGUCUCAUCCACCCAUCUCUUCAUGGCAAGCCCAUUUAUUUUGACUCUGCCACACAGGGAUCACUAUCUUCCCACUGGCCUUGAGGGUCUUCACUCCUCCAGGGGUAAUCAGACUGUCUCCAAUUUGCUUUAUUAAGCCAUCUUCCAUGUAAAUGUCAGCAUAAAAGGAUUGAUCAUCGUUGAUGAUUCUGCCUCCCUUGAUGAGAAGACGGUCACUCCCCAGUGAAGAGAAAGGUCCUUGCAAAACUGUCUGUGCUCUAUCAAAAUGACUUGUGAUUUCUUAAGCUCUAUGGUUUCAGUUUUAAUGUCAACAUCACUGCCCAGAACAUGGGAGUCUAGAAUUGACCCAUUUAACAGGAAAUGGGCUAAUGGAAGGAUUAUUCUGUAGAGCAUCAAUACUACAACCAACCGUAACAAUGGUGAAUGGUUUUACCAUCUCAAAAGACUUUCCAGAGACUACCCUGGUGGCGCAGUGGUUAAGAACCCACCUGCCGAUGCAGGGGACACGGCUUCGAGCCCUGGUCCAGGAAGAUCCCACUUGCCGCUGAGCA